CUGCAACUCGCCUGCAUGAAGUCGGAAUUGCUAGUAAUCGUGGAUCAGCAUGCCACGGUGAAUACGUUCCCGGGCCUUGUACACACCGCCCGUCACACCAUGGGAGUCGGUAACACCCGAAGCCUGUGAGCUAACCUUUCAGGAGGCAGCAGUCGAAGGUGGGGUUGAUGAUUGGGGUGAAGUCGUAACAAGGUAGC
rnacentral:rRNA from 1 species